UGGGGAAUAUUGGGCAAUGGGGGCAACCCUGACCCAGCAACGCCGCGUGAAGGAAGAAGGCUUUCGGGUUGUAAACUUCUUUUAUCAGGGACGAUAAUGACGGUACCUGAUGAAUAAGCCACGGCUAACUACGUGCCAGCAGCCGCGGUAAUACGUAGGUGGCAAGCGUUGUCCGGAUUUACUGGGUGUAAAGGGCGCGUAGGCGGGACUGCAAGUCAGAUGUGAAAUCUGGGGGCUUAACCCCCAAACUGCAUUUGAAACUGUAGUUCUUGAGUAUCGGAGAGGCAGGCGGAAUUCCUAGUGUAGCGGUGAAAUGCGUAGAUAUUAGGAGGAACACCAGUGGCGAAGGCGGCCUGCUGGACGACAACUGACGCUGAGGCGCGAAAGCGUGGGGAGCAAACAGG
rnacentral:rRNA from 1 species